ensembl:piRNA 21ur-94 ncRNA
UUGGGGUAAACUUGAGGGAAA